rnacentral:rRNA from 1 species
UGGCUCAGGACGAACGCUGGCGGCGUGCCUAAUACAUGCAAGUAGAACGCUGAAGAGAGGAGCUUGCUCUUCUUGGAUGAGUUGCGAACGGGUGAGUAACGCGUAGGUAACCUGCCUUGUAGCGGGGGAUAACUAUUGGAAACGAUAGCUAAUACCGCAUAACAAUGGAUGACACAUGUCAUUUAUUUGAAAGGGGCAAUUGCUCCACUACAAGAUGGACCUGCGUUGUAUUAGCUAGUAGGUGAGGUAAUGGCUCACCUAGGCGACGAUACAUAGCCGACCUGAGAGGGUGAUCGGCCACACUGGGACUGAGACACGGCCCAGACUCCUACGGGAGGCAGCAGUAGGGAAUCUUCGGCAAUGGGGGCAACCCUGACCGAGCAACGCCGCGUGAGUGAAGAAGGUUUUCGGAUCGUAAAGCUCUGUUGUAAGUCAAGAACGGGUGUGAGAGUGGAAAGUUCACACUGUGUCGGUAGCUUACCAGAAAGGGACGGCUAACUACGUGCCAGCAGCCGCGGUAAUACGUAGGUCCCGAGCGUUGUCCGGAUUUAUUGGGCGUAAAGCGAGCGCAGGCGGUUUGAUAAGUCUGAAGUUAAAGGCUGUGGCUCAACCAUAGUUCGCUUUGGAAACUGUCAAACUUGAGUGCAGAAGGGGAGAGUGGAAUUCCAUGUGUAGCGGUGAAAUGCGUAGAUAUAUGGAGGAACCCCGGUGGCGAAAGCGGCUCUCUGGUCUGUAACUUGACGCUGAGGCUCGAAAGCGUGGGGAGCGAACCGGAAUAAAUACCCUGGUAGUCCCCGCCGUAAACGAAGAAUGGUAGGGUGUUGGAUCCUUUCCGGGAUUCAAGUGCAGAAGCUAACGCAUUAAGCACUCCCGCCUGGGGAGUACGACCGCAAGGGUUUGAAAACUCAAAGGAAUUGACGGGGGCCCGCACAAGCGGUGGAGCAUGUGGUUUAAUUCGAAGCAACGCGAAGAACCUUACCAGGUCUUGACAUCCCGAUGCUAUUUCUAGAGAUAGAAAGUUACUUCGGUACAUCGGUGACAGGUGGUGCAUGGUUGUCGUCAGCUCGUGUCGUGAGAUGUUGGGUUAAGUCCCGCAACGAGCGCAACCCCUAUUGUUAGUUGCCAUCAUUCAGUUGGGCACUCUAGCGAGACUGCCGGUAAUAAACCGGAGGAAGGUGGGGAUGACGUCAAAUCAUCAUGCCCCUUAUGACCUGGGCUACACACGUGCUACAAUGGUUGGUACAACGAGUUGCGAGUCGGUGACGGCGAGCUAAUCUCUUAAAGCCAAUCUCAGUUCGGAUUGUAGGCUGCAACUCGCCUACAUGAAGUCGGAAUCGCUAGUAAUCGCGGAUCAGCACGCCGCGGUGAAUACGUUCCCGGGCCUUGUACACACCGCCCGUCACACCACGAGAGUUUGUAACACCCGAAGUCGGUGAGGUAACCUUUUGGAGCCAGCCGCCUAAGAUGGGACAGAUGA